rnacentral:sRNA from 1 species
GCUGGGCAUAGUGGCGCAUGCCUGUAAUCCCAGCUGUUUGAGAGGCUGAGGCAUGAGGAUCAUGAGUUCAAAAAUCAGUUUCAGCAAAAGUGAGGUGCUAAGCAACUCAGUGAGACCCUCUCUCUU